rnacentral:rRNA from 1 species
AUUGAACGCUGGCGGCAGGCCUAACACAUGCAAGUCGAGCGGGGUUUUCGGACCUAGCGGCGGACGGGUGAGUAAUGCGUAGGAAGCUACCCGAUAGAGGGGGAUACCAGUUGGAAACGACUGUUAAUACCGCAUAAUGUCUACGGACCAAAGUGUGGGACCUUCGGGCCACAUGCUAUCGGAUGCGCCUACGUGGGAUUAGCUAGUUGGUGGGGUAAUGGCUCACCAAGGCGACGAUCCCUAGCUGGUUUGAGAGGAUGAUCAGCCACACUGGAACGGAGACACGGGCCAGACUCCUACGGUAGGCAGCAGUGGGGAAUAUUGGACAAUGGGCGCAAGCCUGAUCCAGCCAUGCCGCGUGUGUGAAGAAGGCUUUCGGGUUGUAAAGCACUUUCAGUAGGGAGGAAGGGUGUUGUGUUAAUAGCACAGCAUUUUGACGUUACCUACAGAAGAAGCACCGGCUAACUCUGUGCCAGCCGCCGCCGUAACAC